CGAUUGAAAUACUUGCAUUAUUUCCGCGACUGUUAAUCGCCUUGUCGCAGGUUCGAGUCCUGCUCGGGGAGCCA
rnacentral:tRNA from 1 species